UAGUAACAUCGUAUUAAAUAUGUUAAGCGAGGAAAAUAUCGAUUUUCAGUUGUUAAAAAUUAGAAGAUGCAACUUUGCUUGCAUUUAAGGCGCUCCCUUUUCUUAUGAUAGCACCUCCACAGAAGGGCAAGAAGAGUCCAAGAAUGUAUCUUGAUGCAAUUUUGGCUUUAUUUCAUAGAGAAAUGGAUGUACACCUCAGUCUUGAAAGCUCCCUUGAGUUAUCGAAGGAGAAAGUUUUUCUACUGAUUUUAUUCAAGUGGUGCGGCACUCUAUUUAUGAUUCUAAUUAUAACUCUAAUUAUAAGUCGAUAAUACAGCUAUACGGUUGGAAGCCAUACCGAGUAUUAGAUUUGCUUUUGAGUUGCUGCUAGUUUCUUAUUAUGUAUUUAAUGUCAAUUUUCCUCAUGAACCUAUUUGUGUAUAUGGAUUUAUUGGAAAAUUGCUUGGAAUAAACAGCAAAAGAAUUAUUGUCAAUUCCUUUUAAAGAAAGUAUUGCCAAAAGUUUAAGAUUAAAUUAAGCAAUAUGUUUGUGAAACGAAAAAGUAUUUUUUAUCACUUUUUUGUUUAUUUUUGUUAUAUCGUCAGCCGAGAACCAAGAUGCCA